ACCUGCUGUCUAGGACAGGGAACUCUACUCAAUAUGUGGUGAUAACCUAUAUGGGAAAAGAAACUGAAAAAGAAUGGAUGUGUGUAUAUGUAUAACUGAAUCAUUCUGUGGUACAGCAGAAAUUAAUACAACACUGUAAAUCAGCUAUACUUCAAUCAAAUGUCUAAAAAUACAAAAAAAAAAUCCUAAAAAAUAAAAUUCAAAUCAGAGGGUGUCAAUCUCCUUCUCGAAACUUUUAUAGCUCUCUUUCUUUCUUCUUUUUUUUUUUUCUCUUUUUUCUUUUUGUCUUUUUAGGGCCACACCCACAGCAUAUGGAGGUUCCCAGGCUGGGGUUUCAUCAGAGCUGUAGCUGCUGGCCUACGCCACAGCCACAGCAAUGCCAGGUCCGAGCCAUGUCUUCGACCUACACCACAGCUCACAGCAACACUGGAUCCUUAACUCACUGAGUGAGGCCAGGGAUCGAACCUGCAUCCUCAUGGAUUCUAAUGAGAUUCAUUUCUGCGGAGCCGGGAACUCCUCUCUGAAUGGCUUUUGAAUAAAAGCUACGUGUUUCACCAUGGCUUACAAAUGCUCUGCCCAAUCUAGCCUCUCUCAGCUUCUCUGGCCUUGCCCUUCACCAUCACUCUUUUGAUCCAGUUCUCUGGCUGCAGCACUUUUUUGGUGUUAGUCACUGGCUCCACCCACCCAGCUCCUAUGGAAUGUUUCAGGUCUCAUUUCAAGUCAUUUAUUUACAGAGGGUUUCCCUGUGCCCUAGUCUGCAUCAAUCCCAAUCAUAGCCAAUGAUAAUAAUAAUCAGAGCAAAGAGUAAAUAAUCCUAGGUGGGAGACAGUGUUCUAAGUGCUUUACCUAUAAUAGCAUCUAAAUUUUACCACAAUCCGUAUGGUAAGUACCGGUAUUAUUCCCACUUUUCACAGGUAGAAAAAUCUGUACUUUUCUUCAUUACAAUGAUCAGAUGUAUAAUCAUGUGUUCAUUCACUUAAUAUUUACUGGGCUAUAAACUCCACAAGGUCAGAUUCUGAGCUCAUUCACCUCAUUACUGCAUCCCUAAUGUCUAGGACAGUGUCUCAUAUACAGUAGGCAUCUAAUAAAUGUGUACUGAAUAAAUGAAUAAGGGACAUGUAUGAGACACAUUUCUCCCAAGACAUACACACACUACCAUGAAAGGGAGCAAUGACAAAGGAAUGAAAGGAAAUUAUUAAAUAGUACUUGUUGAGGUUGCAGAUAACUCAGUUCCUUUGGUUGCUCUUCUGUUGUGAAAUUCUCACUACCCCGUUUCCGCUCAUUUUAACAUCCGAGGUUUGCAGUGUGGCAGAGGCCAGAAUAGUGUGGUCUGGAGUAGAGGGAAGAACGUGGGUUUUCAAGAAACACAGACCUAGGUUUCAGUUCUGACUUGAUCGCUUACUAACUGUGUGGUCUUGAGUAACCCCCCAUAUUCCCGCUGAGUCUCCUUUUUUCUAAAUCUGAGAAACAGGGACAAUCGCAUCAGCAAAACAGUUCAUUUGGGAUAAUUAGUGAGAAAACAGUGUGUGCAGAGAGCCUAGCACAGUGCUCGGCGCAUAAGAGGAGUUUCUCUCCUGCCAUCAGGGGCAGGCCUGUGGGGGGAUGGAAAUUCUCCAGUUUAUUGGAUAAGCAGCACUAGCCAGACAGGACCGUAAAAAUGUAAACCCUAAGAGUAACAGGGGGGCAGGGGCACAGGCUGAAUUACUGUCCUGGCUGCCUCCAUGGACCAAAUGAGGUGGGCAAGCCCCACGGCCCCAGCGCGCUCCGUGGUCACAGAAGGGUAGGAAAAGCACACAAACCUCUGAGGGGUCCCUUUUGGUCCAUGUCAACAGCUUUGACUGGGAAUAAGUCAAGACAAUAAACUAAGGCAAAGAUCCAGUGAGCUCCGUGGCCUGUUCUCGAUUUCAAGGGGACAGUCCCUGCUUUGUUUCUCUUCUCUUGGGUGAAAGGCUGUUCCCUGAAAUGCUCCUGGUUUCCGAGAACAGCUCUGGAGGCAACUCCAUAAAGUGCUGGCCAGGAGUUGUUGAGAAGCAAGCAAGUCAAUUCACCCUGCCCCCCAGGAUCACGUGGUCUUGGGGAUGUGGGAGGGAGAAAAGGGAACUCAGAUGGUCCUCUUCCUUCCUCUUUUGGCUCCCAGCAUCCACGCUCAUUCUUCUCCAGGUCAACACAUCCUCCUUCUCCUCAUUUCCCUCCCUCCCAAGAAAGAGGAGAGAAGGGGGCAGGUGGCCACGAGGGUACUGAGAGGGGGCAUGCACUUCUUUCAAAAAGACGAAAUAGACGCCCUCCUUGAUGCUGCCUCUGCUAGGAGGAUCUGUCUUCUCUCCAAAGGGAAGCACUGGUCCAGCCUGUGCUGCUGCUGACUGCUGAGCUGUGGGUUGAAGAACCUGUACCCAAGCAGGACACAUGGAAUACUUGCAAAUCAAUAUAAACAGCUCGAUGCUGGGGCUCUGAGGUGAAGCUCUAGUGGUGGACGUGGCCUGCCUUGAACUUUUGUAGUUGGUGUUGCUUUUAAGGAAGACCUUGAACUCAACAGGAGGAUCAGCGCUGUACCAACAAUAUGGAUAUGGAUUUGGGAAUAAGCAUUGGAUGCAACUAUCCACUAUGUUGGGAAAUUUGUGGAUGAGAAAUGUUACAAAUCCAUGAAAACGAGUUUGGGUUCAGAGGAAAAUAAGGGAUUGACACCCCUACUCACCAGGAAAAUAAAAUAGAACUAGAGAUACUCAAGAAAAAAGGGGUCUCAGAGAAAAAAGAAGUAAAAACCCAAACAGGAUGCUUUUAAAAAAGAUUUUACAGCUAGGGUUGUGGGCACAAUGAGAUGGUGUGAAACAGCUGUUUUAGAGACCAGGGAAGUGAAAUGACCUGAAACACACAGUCAAAGUGCUGGGUAAUGCUGAUGGCUCAUCUGAGAUUUGUGGUGCUUAAUUAAGAAUGAAUUCAAGGAGCAUGGAUUUCAACUUCCAAAAUCUCACCACGCCUCAGAGAAACUGACCUAAGAAAGGAUUCAUCUUAUGCAAUUGCAGCAACAGGUAUAGAUUUAUAUAUAACAGGUAUGUAUAUAUAAUAGGUGUACACACAACACACACACACACACACACACACACACACACACACACACACACAUAUAUAUGUGUGUAUUCACAGAUGGUCAAAAGUUAGACAUGAAAACCACUUUUCUAACCAGACUUCGUCUCAUAUCUUGCCCCCCACCCCCACCCCCGUCUGUUGUCAAAAUAGCAGCCAGAGUAAUUCCUUAAAAACCUAACUCAGGUCCCAUCAUUCAUCAGCCGAAUACUUUCUGGUCGGUUCCCCUUUGUUUCAAAGUGAGAAUCAAAGUCCUUACAAUGGUGUACGAGGCCUUAGA